UGGGGAAUCUUGCGCAAUGGGGGAAACCCUGACGCAGCGACGCCGCGUGCGGGAUGAAGGCCUUCGGGUUGUAAACCGCUUUCAGCAGGGACGAGGCCUUAUGGUGACGGUACCUGCAGAAGAAGCUCCGGCUAAAUACGUGACAGCAGCCGCGGUAAUACGUAUGGAGCAAGCGUUGUCCGGAAUUAUUGGGCGUAAAGCGCGCGCAGGUGGUUUAGAAAGUCUGAUGUGAAAGCCCACGGCUCAACCGUGGAGGGUCAUUGGAAACUAAUAAACUUGAGUGCAGGAGAGAAAAGUGGAAUUCCUAGUGUAGCGGUGAAAUGCGUAGAGAUUAGGAGGAACACCGGUGGCGAAAGCGGCUUUUUGGCCUGCAACUGACACUGAGGCGCGAAAGCGUGGGGAGCAAACAGG
rnacentral:rRNA from 1 species